rnacentral:rRNA from 1 species
CAGCAGCCGCGGUAAUACGAAGGGUGCAAGCGUUAAUCGGAAUUACUGGGCGUAAAGCGCGCGUAGGUGGUUUGGUAAGAUGGAUGUGAAAUCCCCGGGCUCAACCUGGGAACUGCAUCCAUAACUGCCUGACUAGAGUACGGUAGAGGGUGGUGGAAUUUCCUGUGUAGCGGUGAAAUGCGUAGAUAUAGGAAGGAACACCAGUGGCGAAGGCGACCACCUGGACUGAUACUGACACUGAGGUGCGAAAGCGUGGGGAGCAAACAGGAUUAGAGACCCGUGUAGUCCCUGUCUCUUAUAC